CUUAUAGAAUUUUAUUAUAAGUAUAACCUGCUCCAUGAUUACUAAUUAAUAAAUUUCUUAGUAAUUAAAUAGCCGCAGAAUUCUGUGCUAAGGUAGCAUAAUCAUUAGGUUUCUAAUUAAAAUCUAGUAUGAAAGGUUUAACAUUCCUAAAACCUUUUUUAAUUAUAAUAAUUUGAAAUUAAACUUAAAAUUAAAAUAUUUUAAUUUUUUAAAAAGACGAUAAGACCCUAUUGAACUUCACUACUGUUUUGCUGGGGCAGCUAGACAAUAAUUAUUUUGUCCCUUAUUAAAUAAUAUUUGACCCAAUACAAUUGAUUAAAAGACUAAGUUACCAUAGGGAUAACAGCAUAAUUAUUUUUUAAAGAUCUUAUAUAAAAAAUAGUUUAUGACCUCGAUGUUGAAUUAAUUGAUCUAGGAGAUGCAAAAAUUUCCUUAGAAAGUCUGUUCGACUUUAAUCUAUUACA
rnacentral:rRNA from 1 species